GACGAACGCUGGCGGCGUGCUUAACACAUGCAAGUCGAACGGAAAGGCCUCUUUCGGGGGGUACUCGAGUGGCGAACGGGUGAGUAACACGUGAGUAACCUGCCCUUGACUUUGGGAUAACUUCAGGAAACUGGGGCUAAUACCGGAUAGGAGCUCCUGCUGCAUGGUGGGGGUUGGAAAGUUUCGGCGGUUGGGGAUGGACUCGCGGCUUAUCAGCUUGUUGGUGGGGUAGUGGCUUACCAAGGCUUUGACGGGUAGCCGGCCUGAGAGGGUGACCGGCCACAUUGGGACUGAGAUACGGCCCAGACUCCGACGGGAGGCAGCAGGGGGGAAGAUUGCACAAUGGGUGGAAGCCUGAUGCAGCAACGCCGUGGGCGGGAUGACGGCCUUCGGGUUGUAAACCGCUUUCGCUCAUGACGAAGCUUUGUGUGACGGUAGUGGGUAAAGAAGCACCGGCUAACUACGUG
rnacentral:rRNA from 1 species